GACGAACGCUGGCGGCGUGCUUAACACAUGCAAGUCGAACGGAAAGGCCCUGCUUGCAGGGUACUCGAGUGGCGAACGGGUGAGUAACACGUGGGUGAUCUGCCCUUCACUUCGGGAUAAGCCUGGGAAACUGGGUCUAAUACCGGAUAGGAGCCAUUUUUAGUGUGAUGGUUGGAAAGUUUUUUCGGUGUAGGAUGAGCUCGCGGCCUAUCAGCUUGUUGGUGGGGUAAUGGCCUACCAAGGCGGCGACGGGUAGCCGGCCUGAGAGGGUGGACGGCCACAUUGGAACUGAGAUACGGCCCAGACUCCUACGGGAGGCAGCAGUGGGGAAUAUUGCACAAUGGGCGCAAGCCUGAUGCAGCGACGCCGCGUGGGGAAUGACGGCCUUCGGGUUGUAAACUCCUUUCGCUAGGGACGAAGCUUUUUGUGACGGUACCUAGAUAAGAAGCACCGGCUAACUACGUG
rnacentral:rRNA from 1 species